CUGUUCAUGAGUGAGUUACUGAACCGUUCAUAAACCAAUACAUUCAGAACCGCUCAUUCAGAAUGAAAUAAGUUUUGGACUUUGAGCGCCACAAUUUCAAGGUUCAACCGACGAAGAUGGUGCCAACUUCACUUCAGUCAUGUGAAAUCACCUUAACCGUCGAAAGAUACUACGCCAAAAAUAUAGUGUUGUUUUUAUUAUUUUUUUUCCCACAAAUGUAUUAUUUACAUGACCUGAAGAAGGAGAGAUAUAGCUGACGCAGCUCCUAUGAGGAUGGAGAUCUGGAGUGUCUCAGAGUGUCUCGCCCUUGAGCCGGAGCAGAGGUAGAGAAGCAGAAGAAAGAAAUUCAUACAGGAUUGGAAAUUUGGAAUGCAAUGAAGCACGUGGGUUAAGAAGAGAUGUGCCUGACAUCUCCUCACAGAGACCUGAAAUCCACUGAUGGGCGUCACAUUUAUGUGGAAUCCCCACAUGCCUGAUGUCUCCAGCA
ensembl:lncRNA